AGAGUUUGAUCCUGGCUCAGAUUGAACGCUGGCGGCAUGCCUUACACAUGCAAGUCGAACGGCAGCGCGGGGGGUAACUCCUGGCGGCGAGUGGCGAACGGGUGAGUAAUAUAUCGGAACGUGCCCUGGAGUGGGGGAUAACUAGUCGAAAGAUUAGCUAAUACCGCAUACGAUCUACGGAUGAAAGUGGGGGAUUCGCAAGAACCUCAUGCUCGUGGAGCGGCCGAUAUCUGAUUAGCUAGUUGGUAGGGUAAAAGCCUACCAAGGCGACGAUCAGUAGCUGGUUUGAGAGAACGGCCAGCCACACUGGGACUGAGACACGGCCCAGACUCCUACGGGAGGCAGCAGUGGGGAAUUUUGGACAAUGGGGGCAACCCUGAUCCAGCAAUGCCGCGUGUGUGAAGAAGGCCUUCGGGUUG
rnacentral:rRNA from 1 species